GGGCCCGCACAAGCGGUGGAGCAUGUGGUUUAAUUCGAUGAUACGCGAGGAACCUUACCAGGGCUUAAAUGUAGUCUGACAGAUUUGGAAACAGAUUUUUCUUUCGGACAGAUUACAAGGUGCUGCAUGGUUGUCGUCAGCUCGUGCCGUGAGGUGUCAGGUUAAGUCCUAUAACGAGCGCAACCCCUGUUGUUAGUUGCCAGCGAGUAAUGUCGGGAACUCUAGCAAGACUGCCGGUGCAAACCGUGAGGAAGGUGGGGAUGACGUCAAAUCAUCACGGCCCUUACGUCCUGGGCCACACACGUGCUACAAUGGUAGGUACAGAGAGCAGCCACGUCGCAAGGCGGAGCGAAUCUAUAAAACCGUUCGUAGUCCGGAUUGGAGUCUGCAACUCGACUCCAUGAAGUCGGAAUCGCUAGUAAUCG
rnacentral:rRNA from 1 species